rnacentral:rRNA from 1 species
AUGCAGUUUGUAACAGGUAUAGGCAAUAAUUGGUUUUCAUUCAUCACAAGGAUUAAGGUGUUCAGUGGAGAGAAAGGGAUGUGUUCAGGACAGUUAAAAUUCUGGUUUUCAUUCAUUCAGAGACUAGUUGUGGUCGUGCUCCAUUUCGUGUUGAGCACAUCACAUCACACCACAUUUCACAUGUAUAGCCUGAAUGUUUCAUUGAUCAUCUCUUAUGUACAGCAAGGUAUCUUGCCAAGCCCAACCAACAGAUCAAACACACGCACACGGCACAAGGAGAACAGCUGCCGAAGCAUAUCGAUCACAGCACACGGCAGCCAUUUACAUUUCCACUCGUUUCUCUUCUCCCGGUUGAAAGAAUGCCUUCCACUUCACCACACGCUAGAUAAACUAGGCUCUCUUGGCUUCCUGUUCAGCCUGCAUGCACAAGUCAAACCAUUAAAUCAGGAAGGAGGAAUAAAAAGAGAUGAACAUUCAGAAACAAAAGAGCAUAUAUGCAGGCAGUGUAGGGAGCAAGGACGACUCACGGCUUGGAUGAUCUUCUCGAGAGCGCCGGGCCCGUGCGUCUCGAUGAAGCGCUCGACGGACUUGCGCGCGUCGAGGCUCAUCAUCUGCAGCACCUUCCUCUGCCUCUCGCUGUAG